UACGUAGGGUGCAAGCGUUAAUCGGAAUUACUGGGCGUAAAGCGUGCGCAGGCGGUUGUGCAAGACCGAUGUGAAAUCCCCGGGCUAACCUGGGAAUGGCAUUGGUGACUGCACGGCUAGAGUGUGUCAGAGGGGGUAGAAUUCCACGUGUAGCAGUGAAAUGCGUAGAGAUGUGGAGGAAUACCGAUGGCGAAGGCAGCCCCCUGGGAUAACACUGACGCUCAUGCACGAAAGCGUGGGGAGCAAACAGG
rnacentral:rRNA from 1 species